rnacentral:rRNA from 1 species
CCUACGGGAGGCAGCAGUAGGGAAUAUUGCUCCAUGGGGGAAACCCUGAAGCAGCAACGCCGCGUGGAGGAUGAAGGUUUUCGGAUUGUAAACUCCUUUUGUUAGAGAAGAUAAUGACGGUAUCUAACGAAUAAGCACCGGCUAACUCCGUGCCAGCAGCCGCGGUAAUACGGAGGGUGCAAGCGUUACUCGGAAUCACUGGGCGGAAAGAGCGCGUAGGCGGGAUAGCAAGUCAGAUGUGAAAUCCUAUGGCUUAACCAUAGAACUGCAUUUGAAACUGUUAUUCUAGAGUAUGGGAGAGGUAGGUGGAAUUCUUGGUGUAGGGGUAAAAUCCGUAGAGAUCAAGAGGAAUACUCAUUGCGAAGGCGACCUGCUAGAACAUAACUGACGCUGAUGCGCGAAAGCGUGGGGAGCAAACAGGAUUAGAUACCCUAGUAGUC